GAUGAACGCUGGCGGCGUGCCUAAUACAUGCAAGUCGAGCGAACAGACGAGGAGCUUGCUCCUCUGACGUUAGCGGCGGACGGGUGAGUAACACGUGGAUAACCUACCUAUAAGACUUGGAUAACUUCGGGAAACCGGAGCUAAUACCGGAUAAUAUAUUGAACCGCAUGGUUCAAUAGUGAAAGACGGUUUUGCUGUCACUUAUAGAUGGAUCCGCGCCGCAUUAGCUAGUUGGUAAGGUAACGGCUUACCAAGGCAACGAUGAGUAGCCGACCUGAGAGGGUGAUCGGCCACACUGGAACUGAGACACGGUCCAGACUCCUACGGGAGGCAGCAGUAGGGAAUCUUCCGCAAUGGGCGAAAGCCUGACGGAGCAAAGCCGCGUGAGUGAUGAAGGUCUUCGGAUCGUAAAACUCUGUUAUUAGGGAAGAACAAAUGUGUAAGUAACUAUGCACGUCUUGACGGUACCUAAUCAGAAAGCCACGGCUAACUACGUG
rnacentral:rRNA from 1 species